AUUGAACGCUGGCGGCAUGCCUUACACAUGCAAGUCGAACGGCAGCACGGGUGCUUGCACCUGGUGGCGAGUGGCGAACGGGUGAGUAAUACAUCGGAACGUACCUUAUCGAGGGGGAUAACGCAGCGAAAGCUGUGCUAAUACCGCAUACGCCCUGAGGGGGAAAGCGGGGGAUCGAAAGACCUCGCGCGAUUAGAGCGGCCGAUGCCUGAUUAGCUUGUUGGUGGGGUAAAAGCCCACCAAGGCGACGAUCAGUAGCUGGUCUGAGAGGACGAUCAGCCACACUGGGACUGAGACACGGCCCAGACUCCUACGGGAGGCAGCAGUGGGGAAUUUUGGACAAUGGGGGCAACCCUGAUCCAGCAAUGCCGCGUGAGUGAAGAAGGCCUUCGGGUUGUAAAGCUCUUUUGUCAGGGAAGAAGCACCGGCUCUAACACAGUCCGGGAAUGACGGUACCUGAAGAAUAAGCACCGGCUAACUACGUGCCAGCCGCCGCAGUAA
rnacentral:rRNA from 1 species